rnacentral:lncRNA from 1 species
GACAUUGAAGAAUCUGAAAGGUCGAGGCAGUGUGUGUUUAUCCACCUCAGUAGAUAUUAGAAUUGGGGAGUAAUCAUAGCAUCCUGGUUGGUGAGUUGUAUUUGUUGAACCAGUAUUGAUUACCAAAGGCCCAAUCUAUGAGGCAGUAAAUUCUAUCUUCAAGAUCACGCUUGUUAGACCAGGAAUAUUGGCACCCUCUUCUAUAGAUUGGACCAAGCCCUAUAAUCUUCAACAGAAUCCUAGAAGUCUUGCACCUCUGUCUGUUGCACAUUUGCCCCAUUAAUUCUAUCAUUUAUUGUCAAAAUUGUGUUGAAGUCCCUAAAAUAAUCCAAGGUUCAGUCAAGGUAGUAUUGAUCAACCUCAACUGUUGUCAGAUUUCCUUUCUACCUGACACAGUGUAGAAGCCAUAUACAAAGGUGGUAUGGCAUCUAAAUUGUGACCCUUUGUCCUUAACUUGACAAUGGAUAAUUUGGGCUCCAGUCAUAAGGAUUUUAAUCUCUACAAGUGAUGGCUUCCAGCAUAGCCAGAUCCUUCCAUUUGGAGUUGAGAUGUAAUCAGUUGCAAUUUCCCACUCUACUCCUAGCUUCCUCUUUACUCUUU